GAAGAAACCAACUGUGCCCCCACCUUGAUCUUGGACUUUCAGCCUCCAGAACGGAGUGUGACAAGAGAAGGGCUCAGGAAUCAUGAGGGGCCUCCAACAUGCCCACCUGGAGCAUGCUACCCAGCUCCUGUAACUGGGGUCAAAGGCCUUCCCACCACAAAAGGGGGCCCAAGAGACCAGUCCCCUAUGCCUCUCAGUUCAUCUGGUGAAAAAUAUGGCUGCCAUCAACACCUCCGUAGGCUUUAUUGAAGAAAUCAAGCAAAUUGAGCUAAGUUGUCUUUAUCUCAAACUCAAGAGGAUUGAGAAGAUUCCUUGGCUGGACUUGGGGAGGAAGUGCUCCUUAUUGAAUGUCUACCAUGUGCCAGGUGCCCUCUAGGUCAUGGGGAUACAGUAGAGAGCAGAACAGACAAUCCUGCUGUCAUGGAUCAGACAUUCUAUGAUAUGGCACUGACUAUAUGUUUAUUACUAAGCACCUAUCGAGAACCAGGCCCCAACUUUGUACCAAGGACACAACACUGAGCAAAAAGCACAGACGUCAUUGCAUAUGGUGAUAAAUGAGUUCAUUUAGUCAAUAGUCUAGAUUGCUAUAAGAACAUACAGCGAGGGGACUUGAACUGGUUUGAGGGGCUGGGAAAAAAUUUUUUUAAUAUGAAUUAAGUGAAAUUUAUUUUUUAGAACUGUUUUAGAUUUACAGAGAAAUUAUGAAGAUAGUGUAAAGAGUUCCCGAUAUACCCCACACUCAGUUUCCCCUGCUAUUAACAUCUUAUGUUACUGUGGUACAUUUGCCACAAGUAAGGAACCAAUAUUGAUAUAUUGUUAUUAACUGAAGUCCAUACUUGGUUCAGGUUUCCUUAGUUUGUACCUAAUGUUCUUUGUGUGCUCCAGGAUCCCACGUUGUUGUCCUCAUGUCUGUGUAGGCUCAACCUUGGCUGUGAAAGUUUCUUAGACUGUCCUUGUUUUUGAUGACCUUGACAGUUUUGAGGAGUACAGGUGAGGUAGAUUGUAGAAUGUACCUCUGCUGGAAUUUUCCUCAUGAUUAGACUGAGGUUAUGACUUCUGGGCAGAAGACCCCAGAGGUAGAGUACCAUUUUCAUCACAUCAUAUCAAGGGUAUGUGCUAUCAACUUGACCUGUCACUGUGGAUGUUGACCUUGACCGCCUGGCUGACGUAGCUUCUGUCAGAUUUCUCCAUACUUCCCGUUUCCUUCUUUGUACUGUAGUGCAGCCCACAUUCAAGGGUGGGGUGGGGGUGUUAUACGCACCUCCUUGACAGUUUGUUUCAUUUCUCAUAGCUUUAUUGAGGUAUAAUUUACAUACCGCAAAAAUCACUCGUUUUAAGUGAACAGGUUGAUGAGUUUAGUAAAAUUCUACAGAUGUGCCUGAGGGAACUGGUUUUUUGAGCUGACAUCCAAAGGAUGAGGAGGAUUGAAGUGGGCAAGGGAAGGGAAGACUGUUCCAGGCAGAGGUAAAGCCACCCACAAACCCCUCAGGGGAACGUCGUGCAUUCAAGGACCUUGGGUUAAUCCCGGAUCCCCUAAAAAAAAAGGCAGAACAUGUCACCAUCCUCCAUUUAAUAUGCUUCAUAGAUAUUUUCUUCAAAUCAUUUUAAAGUCCACAGCAUUUUAUGGCCUAACUGCAUUAACUCCAGUUCUGUGAAACAAUUGUCUGUCUAGAACAACUCAUCCCCUGGAGGUUUAUCCAAGGUUUUACUGCAACAAUAAGUAAAUAUUAGGAUAGUAAAAUUCAGAAUGAUCCCUGAGGGGGAAUAAAAUUGUGGUAAAAUUUCCUCCCUUUUCAGGUCUCGUUUAAACAAAAAUGAAAGUGGGUGUACCAUUUCCUUCCUGAUAAGCCCUUGAUUUAUUUCCCUUUGGAACAAACACACCACAGCAAAGUGAGGAUGAGAAGGUAAUUCAGAGGCAGAAGAAGGGAAGGAACUAUACUCAGAAAUAUGUCCUCAUGCAAAGUUAGCAUCUGAAAAGAUCCAGUUAGCAGAAACACUGAAACGCUAUUUCCAGGUGUGAAGUAUCCAAGAGGCUCUCAGGACCCCUGUGGGACAUUUCCUGGCAUGUAUGAGCACCAUAUGUGUCAGGACAGGCAGGGCUGGGCUGCAGUAACAAAGAAACCCCUUAUUCUCAGUGGCUGAAUACAACAGGUCCUUAUCUGAUGUAGAGCAGGUGGCUCUCCUUGGCGGCUCUCCUCCAAUAAUUGAUUCAGGGAUCUAGGCUCCACCCAUCUUGCAAUGGUGUCAUCUUAAUCACGUGGCCUCAAAGUUUGCCACCAAAUAGGAAGAGAGAGUGUGGGUGAUGACAUAGGGGAUUGUAUGUGCCAGGACUGGUAGUGGUAUAUUACAUCACUUCUGCCCACAUCCCUUUGGUCAAGACCCGGUUAUAUAAACCCAAACUAAAUGGAAAGGAGGCUGGGAAAUGUAGUCUUCUUGUGUGUGCAGGAGGAAGAAAAUAAAAUGGGAUUUGGUGACUGUAUAGUAUUGUUUUUGCCCCAAGACCUUAAUCUUUUUAAUUUGAUGCUUUUCAAAUUGUAAAAUAAUACAUGCUCACUGUCACAAGUGAAACAUAGGUGUAAAACAGUGAAAGUAAUUAUGUUCCCCACUUUUGGUCACCUCUCACUUCUCCUUCCCUGUGUAACCUGCCACACCUCUUUCCUUGUUCGUAGGACUGUAUUCCAUGUAUAUAUAUGACUCAGGGGAAUUUGACUCUGGAAGACAUUUCUGAACUGGAGGUUUUCAUACUAAUGCUGCUAGAGUUGUUGAGAAACACCUGAAUGAAAUGUUCAUCUAAGAGUGUCCAUCGUUGUGUGCACAAGUGGUGUUAACAAGGGAGCUCAAACAUGCCGCAGUGGAAGUAGCCAUUGAUAACAGCUCUCUAGGAGAGUCCGUGGUUACUGUGACAAGGUACUAAAUGAUUAGCCCUGAGCUAACAUCUGCCACCAAUCCUCCUGUUUUCGCUAAGGAAGACCGGCCCUGA